rnacentral:lncRNA from 1 species
AUAUAUAUAUUGAAAGGAAAUUUUUGGCAAAAACAAAUUAAGACGUGGAUUCAUUGAUAUUUGAAACAAAAAUGUUUCUUUUUUACACCGACCAGGUGUCAAAUUUCUAUUGGUUUUUUUCUUUUAAAUGGAAAUGAGUUUUUUAAAAACUGACGAGGGUAGAAUAGGAAUUCCAAGGAUAUGAAAUUUUGUUUGGCGGUUCCUUUUUCUUCUCUUUCACUUUGUUUCUGAAGCUUCUUGUCUCCCAUCACUCUUUCCAUUUCCGGUUGCUUCAUCUUUACAAUCCUUUGGUUUCUCCGUUGUACCGUUAGUUUCAUCUCAACCCGAAAAAAGCUAUUUUUCGCAAGGUAAACUUUAUUUCCUCUAUCCCCUUUUUGGGUGGCUUUGGCGUUGUGUGUGUGUUUUGUCAUUUCGUCCCCUUCUCGCAUUGUAUGGGUUCUCUUUCUGUAUCAUUUCGUCCCCUUCUCACAUUGUU